rnacentral:ncRNA from 1 species
AAUUGAGCAAUGAGAGGGAAAAGUAUUAUAGAAUACAGUUUUCAGAGAUGGAGUGUCAAAAGGCUGUAAGCAUUCCUAAAUAUGACUAUAAGAAAAACUACCCUGGAGCUAUGGCUGAUUAUCAAAAUUUUGUGAAAAGUCAUCGGUGGAAAUCGUUAAAAAUUAUAGAGAUGAAUUGGAUUAUUUUAAUUCAAUUUGGGUGGAACCACGGAUAUUAUGCAUUCGUCCCAAGG